GACGAACGCUGGCGGCGUGCCUAAUACAUGCAAGUCGAGCGGACCUUUUAAAAGCUUGCUUUUGAAAGGUCAGCGGCGGACGGGUGAGUAACACGUGGGCAACCUGCCUGUAAGACUGGGAUAACUUCGGGAAACCGGAGCUAAUACCGGAUAAUAUAAGGAACCUCCUGGUUCUUUAUUGAAAGAUGGUUUCGGCUAUCACUUACAGAUGGGCCCGCGGCGCAUUAGCUAGUUGGUGAGGUAAUGGCUCACCAAGGCGACGAUGCGUAGCCGACCUGAGAGGGUGAGCGGCCACACGGGGACUGAGACACGGCCCAGACUCCUACGGGAGGCAGCAGUAGGGAAUCUUCCACAAUGGACGAAAGUCUGAUGGAGCAACGCCGCGUGAGCGAUGAAGGCCUUCGGGUCGUAAAGCUCUGUUGUUAGGGAAGAACAAGUGCGAGAGUAACUGCUCGCACCUUGACGGUACCUAACCAGAAAGCCACGGCUAACUACGUGCCAGCCGCCGCAGUAAAAC
rnacentral:rRNA from 1 species